rnacentral:rRNA from 1 species
UACGUAGGGUGCGAGCGUUGUCCGGAAUUAUUGGGCGUAAAGAGCUCGUAGGCGGUGUGUCACGUCGGCCGUGAAAACCUGCAGCUUAACUGUGGGCGUGCGGUCGAUACGGGCAUCACUGGAGUUCGGCAGGGGAGACUGGAAUUCCUGGUGUAGCGGUGAAAUGCGUAGAUAUCUGGAGGAAUACCGGUGGCGAAGGCGGCAUCCUGGACCGACAUUGACGCUGAAGGGCGAAAGCUAGGGGAGCAAACGGG